rnacentral:rRNA from 1 species
GACGAACGCUGGCGGCGUGCUUAACACAUGCAAGUCGAGCGAGGCCCCUCCUUCGGGAGGGUGUCCUAGCGGCGAACGGGUGAGUAACACGUGGGCAACCUGCCCUCAGCUCUGGGAUAACUCCGGGAAACCGGGGCUAAUACCGGAUACGACCUCCACGGGCAUCUGCGGAGGUGGAAAGUUUUUCGGCUGAGGAUGGGCCCGCGGCCUAUCAGCUAGUUGGUGGGGUAGUGGCCCACCAAGGCGACGACGGGUAGCCGGCCUGAGAGGGCGACCGGCCACACUGGGACUGAGACGCGGCCCAGACUCCUACGGGAGGCAGCAGUGGGGAAUAUUGCGCAAUGGGCGAAAGCCUGACGCAGAGACGCCGCGUGCGGGACGAAGGCCUUCGGGUUGUAAACCUCUUUCAGCAGGGACGAAGCGAAAGUGACGGUACCUGCAGAAGAAGCACCGGCCAACUACGUG